CGUAGGUGGCAAGCGUUGUCCGGAUUUAUUGGGUUUAAAGGGUGCGUAGGCGGUCUUGUAAGUCAGUGGUGAAAUACGGCAGCUUAACUGUCGAGGUGCCAUUGAUACUGUGAGACUUGAGUACAGACGAGGUAGGCGGAAUUGACGGUGUAGCGGUGAAAUGCUUAGAUAUCGUCAAGAACACCGAUAGCGAAGGCAGCUUACUAGACUGUAACUGACGCUGAUGCACGAAAGUGUGGGGGAUCAAACAGGAUUAGAUACCCUGGUAGUCCACACUGUAAACGAUGAUUACUCGAUGUUGGCGAUACACAGCCAGCGUCUUAGCGAAAGCGAUAAGUAAUCCACCUGGGGAGUACGCCGGCAACGGUG
rnacentral:rRNA from 1 species